CAAGACCUUGCGCUGAAGGAGCGGCCGAUGUCUGAUUAGCUUGUUGGUGAGGUAAAGGCUUACCAAGGCAACGAUCAGUAGUUGGUCUGAGAGGACGGCCAACCACACUGGGACUGAGACACGGCCCAGACUCCUACGGGAGGCAGCAGUGGGGAAUUUUGGACAAUGGGCGAAAGCCUGAUCCAGCCAUGCCGCGUGAGUGAAGAAGGCCUUCGGGUUGUAAAGCUCUUUCAGUCGGAAAGAAGAGAUCAUGACUAAUACUCAUGAUUCGUGACGGUACCGACAGAAGAAGCACCGGCUAACUACGUGCCAGCAGCCGCGGUAAUACGUAGGGUGCGAGCGUUAAUCGGAAUUACUGGGCGUAAAGGGCGCGCAGGCGGUCUUGCAAGUCGGAUGUGAAAGCCCCGGGCUUAACCUGGGAAUU
rnacentral:rRNA from 1 species